UGUAAUAAAAGUGGUUUAGGAAUUUUUACAGACUAUAAAUUUAAACAUGUUCGAAUGUAAUUCAAACUUGCAUGAAUUUAUAACCUAACCAAACUGAAGCCAAAUGGGCUUAAAUUUUAUAGAAUGACCCUACAUAAUAAAUAUAAUUUAUGGGCAAAAGAUGAACGUUUAUUUGACCAAUUCUAUAUGCAACUCAAAUAAAUAGAGAAAAGGGAAAGAAGGAAGUGGCAUAGGGAUGAUGGAAGGGUCAAGAGAAGAAAAGAAGUUGCAAUGCACAUGAGCAACUAAAUUAAACAAACAGAACAAUGGUAUGGAGAAGAUGCAUGAUGCAAAAUAAAAUAAAAUAAACAUCACAAGCGAGCAAGCAUGCAUGAACAUGAUGGAUGCAAAUGCACAUGAUGACAUGGCAAUAUGCAACAUGCAAACAAAUGACAUGGCAACGAAAACGAGUAACUGGAAGACACCUGGCGCAUCGGUCUCGGGGUGUUACAACACUCCACCACUACAAGAGGAUCUCGUCCCGAGAUCUAGGAUGGCACCGGAGGGAAUCGGAAGAGGAAGAUAAGAGGUAAAACUAAGUUGCUUCUUUGACAAAUGAGUGAAACGAAAGAACCUUGAGAGGUUAAAAAAAUUGAAAGAAAGAAUACCAUGAAGAUGAACAAAGUUGAAAACACUCUGUUAGAAAAGAGGAACGAGGAAGACAAAUUCGGAUAGCACUCCGGUUGAAAAGAGAUGCAAGACUAGAUAAGAUGAAAAGAACUUAAGCAGAGGACACAACACUUCAGUUAAAACAAGAUAGAGUAGGAAUAAGAAUGAUAUAAUUUGGGCAGCACUCCAAUUGUAAAUGGAAGGAAUUGAACAUGAUCUUGACAAAACAUGAUGAUGCAUUGAAGAGAGCAACAUCACAAUGCCUCCGGAACAAAAGUAAGAAAGGAAUUAAAAGAACGGAGGAGAAAACAACAUCUUCUACCUCAAAUGAGCUUGCAAAGGCAUCCUUAGGAGAAGGGUCGAACGGAGUUGAUGGAAAACCAACAAUGAAAAGAUAAACUUGACGUGGGCUUAUGAAGACAACUCAAAAUUAUGAGAUGAAAUUCUGCCACUAACGGAAAACAAUAGAUUAGAUUGAUAUCAACAAGGAGACGAGAAACUUAUUUCACCGGGAGGAUAAAUGAAGAACUUGGACCAUUUAUAAGCACCAUAAAUAGCAACAAUCCUUAAGGAAAGCUUUAGGUGAAAUAUAACCCAAUCUAACUCCAAUGAAGAGAUUGAUGUAUUGAGAAGAGCUCAUGCUCAAAGAAAUUGAUGGGUUUAAAUAUCUCAUUCCUGACAACUUAUCACCCAUGAAACAUGAAGGAAAACUAUCAAGGAUGACAUAACACCAUCUCAACAGAUAAGAUAGAACGAAUUGCAUUCGGAAUGCAAGAUGAAGAAUGCUUAAACUCCUCAAGACAAAACAUGUGUUGAGCAACAUGUAUUCUAGAGUAUGGCUUGGCGGAUCUUUACUCCGAGAAAAAUAUUGAAGAACAAUUGAAGAAUGAAAGGAAACCUUGACGAACCACCAUGUUGAGCCUCCAUGAAGAACUCCGGUAAUAAAAGUAUGAUGAAAAGAAAGAGAAAUUGAAAACACAAGGUGAAUCCUUGUGAUGAUUUAGAUGGAGCUUCGCGAUGAGAUAAAGCGGAAGACCUGGAACUCCGGAAAAUAAAGAUGAACAAAUUAAAUCAAGAAUUUGAUGAGCCUCUGGAAUAAGGAAUUGACUUCACUUGAUGCAACAAGAAUAAGAAUUACAUUAUGCGUAUCCUUCACCAAUUUAGAUUGAGGACAAGCAACGGAUUUGGCAUACUACUUAUUCCCGUAAAAAGGAUUAAGAUAGAUAUCGCGCAAUCUUGGAACGGUUUUCAAUAAACCACCGGUAGGACUUGAGAAACACAAAUGAAUUGAUGAUAACAAGAGGAAAAGAAUCUUGAACGAACCACCGUAAGAAUAGAAAAUGAACGAAGAAAAGAUAAGGAAACACCGGGGAGAAUUAGAGAACGAAUGAUGAUACUUGAGGGAAUUUAGACACAUGAGAACAAAGAGAUCACGAUCUGAUUAAAGGAAACUUGAAUGAUGCACCGGUAAGAUUUUGGAGAACAAUAGUUGAAAGCUGAGAAUGAAUAAUUCAGACAUGAUGGGCUCCUGAGAAUCAAACUGAAAAGACUCCUGAAAUGCUUCGGAUGGGUGAAAAGAAUUCUCACAAUCGAAAUCAAUUAUGAGAGGAUGGCAACAAGCUUGAAGUUCGCAUCUUUGGAAGAAUGGGUAAGAUUUGGAGGAGAAACUCUUCUUUGGUCUUCAAAUGCAGACAAUGACGACGAGAAACACAACCAUGAAUUGUUGAUGCACUUCGGAAGAAAAAUAGAAUAUAAAGGUUGAAUCAACAAUGAAAAGAAUUUGAAAGAUCUUGGAGAAAGGCAUUUGACUGAUGACAAAUCAUCCUUACAUCAAACUUUGAAAGAAUUUGAGGAUAGCUCCAGGAAAGAUUAGAAGAGUCGGGUAAGAUCCUGGGAAAAGACCUGUGGGUUAGGGCCCACUCAAAAGAAACACCGUUGAACGAUUUCUUGAAAAGAGAGAUUGCACCAGUUGAAUUAAAUGGCUUGAAUGAGAUAACAACCUCGAAAUAGGUUGAACGGAUCUUGAAUGAAAAGACGAGCCUUCUGAGAUAUCUUAAGCACUCCCGAACAAAUGAAUAGCGAGAGGUGAAAGAUUAAGAGGUGCAACGGCAUGGGAAAGCAUUUGAAACAAUGAAAGGAAUAUGAUCAACACCAAAAGCUUGAUUUGAAUCCACCAGAGAAGAUAAAAGAAACGAACAAUGAUGAACUUGAAGCUCCGUUAGUAUCUUCUUGAGAAUCACCAGAUAAGAAUAUUGACAUAAAAUAAUGGAGAGACUUCACAUCAAUAAGAUGGAUACUUGAUUAAGAAAUUUGAGUCCUUGAAGAAAAAAGGAUGGGAGGGCGGGAAAACAAAGGCAGCUUGGGACGAAUGAAAUGAACAGCGUUGAGAAGAACUGAUAAUUGAUCUUGCUGAUGUUGAAAUGAUCGGAUCCACUUGAAGAGGAACACACCGGUUGAAAAGGAUUGACAUGACAAUCUCAAUUAUCAUGAAGGAUUAGUAUUCCCAUAGAAAUAUGAGAACACCACUUAGGACAAGGUAUGGAAUCCACAUUUGACAUUGAAGCAACUCGAAUACCACAACUCAAAACAAAGGAUUAGCUUGCAAAAUAAGCCGGAAACAAACAUAUGAUAGACCCCAUAUCGUAUCAUGUGUCUGUUGGAAGGGUAUCCUACGUGAUACUUGAAUUCCCACUUAUAAACUCCCAAAACUUUCUGGUUAUGCAAUCAGGUGUUGGGGAUACAGAUGAAGCAUAAUAUCUCACCCAAACUAACAAUACCUACAUCCAGUUGUAUCCAUCCUUCAACACAUAACCAAGAAACCUUCGUAAAUCAUUUACCUCAACCUUUGAAAAGCAUCUGUUAUACGAGGUAUGGCAAUACUCCCGAACUCCCGCCCCAGUACUGGGUGGCGUCGAGGUUAUCUCACCAACAACUGCAUAAAAGAGAUUUUUGAUGUCGGCAAACUCAGGUAUUCCAGAACUGCAACGAUAAAAUUGUGACGACAACACCUCGGAGCUCAACUCGUCGAGACACUACCACAACCCCUAAAUGUCAGGAGGCACGAAGAACAAUGUUCUCGUCACAAAACCAUCAGAACGAUUCCAAGAUACCCGCGUGAUCCUAAAUUUUUUUAGUGAAAUUUAAGGAGAGAAGAGUCAAAACUCUAUGUCAGGAGGCCUCACCAGAGCAGCGAAGGGACUGAGGAGUAAAAAGAAUCCUACUCAUCCUAAGACUCAAAACAUUUUGUUCUAGACUCAACAACGUCAGCGAGUCGAUCAAGCAAGGGGCUCCUAAGUUGGGGAAGGCUCUGAUUACCAACUUGUAACACCCACAAUGCGGCUAUAUCUCCCACGUGUCGGGGCACGACUUAGAGGCAUAGCCGCAUGGUAGGUUUGUCGCAAGAGGGGUAAUCUUCACACAAUCCCAUGUACUGAAUAAGAAAGGGAUAAAGAGUUGGCUUACAAUCGCCACUUCACCCAAAUACAAGAAACAUACAUCAUCCAGAAUACAAACAAGGUCCGACUAUGGAACCAAAAUAAAAGAAGACAACCCCAAAUGCUAGAUCCCCGAUCGUCCCAACUGGGCUCCACUACUGAUCAACAAGAAACGAAACAACACACGAACAAGAUCUUCAUCUAGCUCCCACUUGAGCUCAGUUGCGUCAUCUGCACUGGUAUCAUCGGCACUUGCAACUGUUUGGAAGUAUCUAUGAGCCACGAGGACUCAGCAAUCUCACACCCUUGCGAUCAAGACUAUUUAAUCUUAAAGGUAGGAAACGGGUAGUGAGGUGGAGCUGCAAAAAGCACUAGCAUAUAUGGUGGCUAACUUAUGCAAAUAAGAGCGAGAAGAGAAGCAACGCAACGGUCGAGAAGCUAAUAGCGAUCAAGAAGUGAUCCCGAAGACUACUUAAGUUCAAGCAUAACACAAGAACUGUGUUCACUUCUCGGACUCCGCCGAGAAGAGACCAUCACGGCUACACAUGCGGUUGAUGCAUUUUAAUUAAGUUAAGUGUCAAAUUCUCUACAACCAGAUAUUAACAAAUUCCCAUCUGCCCAUAACCGCGGGCACGGCUUUCAAAAGUUCAAAACCCUGCAGGGGUGUACCAACUUAGCCCAUCACAAACUCUCACGGUCAAUGAAGGAUAUUCCUUCUCCCGGGAAGACCCGAUCAGUCUCGGAAUCCCGGUUACAAGACAUUUCGACAAUGGUAAAACAAGACCAGCAAAGCCUCCUGAUGUGUCGACAUCCCGAUAGGAGCUGCACAUAUCUCGUUCUCAGGGCAACACCGAAUGAGCAAUCCGUACAACUAAAACCAGCCCUCAAGUUUCCCCGAGGUGGCGCUGCAAGGGGCUCUAGUUUGGACCAACACUUAGAGAAGCACUGGUCCGGGGUUAAAAUAAAGAUGAACCUUGAGUCUGCAGAACCCAAGGGAAAAAGGCUUAGGCGGCAAAUGGUAAAACCAAGGUUGGGCCUUGCUGGAGGAGUUUUAUUCAAAGCGAACUGUCAAUGGGUUCCCAUAACACCCAACCGCAUAAGGAAUGCAAAAUCAAGGAACAUAACACUGGUAUGACAGAAACUAGGGCGGCAAGAGUGGAACAAAACACCAGGCAUAAGGCCAAGCCUUCCACCCUUUACCAAGUAUAUAGAUGCAUUAAAGUAAAUAAGAUAUAUUGUGAUAUCCCAAACAUAUCCAUGUUCCAACAAGGAACAAACUUCAGCUUCACCUACAACUAGCAACGCUAUAAGAGGGGCUGAGCAAAAGCUGUAACAUAGCCAAACAACAGUUUGCUAGGAAGGUGGGUUAGAGGCUUGACAUGGCAAUAUGGGAGGCAUGAUAAAGCAAGUGGUAGGUAGCACGACAUAGCAAUAGAGUGAUCAACUAGCAAGCAAAGAUAGAAGUGAUUUCGAGGGUAUGGUCAUCUUGCCUGAGAUCCCACAAGGAAGAAGAACGAGUCCAUGAAGAAGACAAACAGACGUAGUCGAACGAAUACUCACCACUCUGGAACGGAACCGAAGCUAACAUGAGAAGCGACCCGGAAAGAAGCAAGCAACAUAGUAAACAACCAUCACAUAAACAAGGCAUGAUGCACAACUAAGUAUGAUGCAUGUCCGGUUUAAUGAGGCAUGGCAUGGCAAAGUGCACAAAUAAUACUACAAAUUAAGUGGAGCUCAAUAUGCAACGAGUUGCAUAUUGACGGAACACCACAUGACUUAUUUAGUUCUCUCCUGUUUAUGUACCCAACAAUAUUAAAUGUUGUUAAACAUGGCAAGAGGUGAAUCAUAAGUAAACUAAACAUUUAGGCAAGUUUAAAUGAGGCUAGAAAUAACAACAACCAUUCCAAAAAAUCCUCAUAUGCAUUUAGCGAUUUAAUGCAACAACAAUUUUAAACAUCUUAAUGUUAUUAUCAUGAUGCGAAUGACAUGUGCAAGUUUUAUGCAAGUUUCAUGAAAAUGUUAACAGGAGCAUAUUAUGAAGCAUUUGUCACCUUGGCAGAAAUGAAAGGGGUGUCACGGCAAUGACAACAGAAAUGGUGCCAUGGCAACAUUCCUGUUCCGGUAACUCGAUUGAGAUGCCGGUGCAAAAGGAAGUGUGUCGGGAGCGUGUCAUGCAAGAUGAUGGGGUGAUCCCGGUUACCGGGUUCCCACGGGUGGACGGCAUGGCAACGAGGAGGACCAUGCAAGCGAUAGUUUCAGACACGGUGCAAACGCGGGGUUCAUCUCAUUCAACACACAUGCAUUCGGUCCACGGGCGGUCGUCUCGAUGGUAUACCUUUGAAGCGUGCGUUUCGAAGCGGAUCAAGCUCGUAGAGGGAAGUAGUGGUAGUAGACGUUCUCGCGACGGCAGUGGUACUAUCAGUCCUCGACGGUAGUGGUACAUGUUUUCCUGUAGAUGUUCGGGUCGAUGAGGGGGUACUUGGCGUAACAUAGGUCUCCGGGGUCGUCGGGUACACGUUCAUAAGGUAGUCGUACACGUCGACGGUAGAGGUACUUGUUGCAUUGCUAGGCGUAGUCGUACACUUGGUCUUGUUGGAUUCGCGACAUCGGUAGUGGAACUUGACGCUUGAGAUUCGAAUACGGGGUCGGACGUGUAGCCGCUCAUAGUCAAACUUGGCGCAUCCCAGUCGUGUACUUGGCGAAUCCGCACGUAGAGGUACUUGGCGAAAAUCCUGGAGACGAUGCGUCUGCGUACGGUUCUUGGCGAUGUUCUUGCUGGUCCAAAAAGAAGCAAGACAGGGGCCGGAGGUGCAACAGCAGCGACAUCACGGCUUUGACGCGGGGUGAGGUGCGGGGCAGUGACGGGCGUUGGGGAUGGGAGGAGGUGCGCACGGCAAACAACCCUCCUUGAGGGUUCGGGCAGGAGAAACCCUCCUGCUCAGGAGCUUGUCCUCGGGUGCAAUGGGGAUGCAGGCGGUGGCGAAGGAGGGAGGAAGAGCUCCUGCAAAACGGCGGCGGCGCGGCUGAUUAGGACGGCUCGGGCAGGAGCUUCUUAGCACGGGAGGAGGCUGACGGUGAGCACCGAGGUGGAGGCGACCUAAUCCGGCGGUGGGGAGCUCUAAUGGAGUAGGUAGGAUGGCUGCGACUGCCAUGGGGGCUCCUGCACUUGUUGGUGUCGACGAGGAUAGGCGCGGUGCACAUGGCAGGGGCGGAGACGCGGCGCUCUGGGUCGCCGGUGCGAGGGGAGAAGGGCGACGGGUGUGCGGCUCCAGGCGGAGCUCAGGCUCCCGGCGAGAAAGACGAACAGGGAGGAGGAGAUCCGGCCGCGGGUCUAGCGGGGCUGCUCAAGGAGGAGUGGACGAGGGAGACUGCAGUGCCUAUCGGGAGGAUGAGAGGGAGAGGGAUCGAGCGAGGCAGCGCUCUCCUCUCCCUGGCGAUGCGUGAGUGUAUACAUGAGUGGCGGCGCGAUGGAGGAGAAUGAGGGAAGGGAGUGGGGGUUCGAGAGAGGGUUAGGGUUAGGGUUAGGGUUAGAAUAGGUUGGAUGGCCUCCAGGGGAUGGUUGGGCCGGCCUCGCUGGGCUUCCCAAGGAGCCGACUAGGCUUCCUCCUCUCUCUCCUUUUUGAUUUACCUUUUUUCUUUUCUAUUUAUUGCAUAAACAGAAAUAGAAGGAAAGUAUAGAGGGUUUGGAAUGGAUGUGAGGUGUGAGGGACAUAUUUAUGGAAACCAUGAAAUAUGCCUGAUGUAAUAAAAGUGGUUUGGGAAUUCUUACAGACUAUAAAUUUAAACAUGUUCGAAUGUAAUUCAAACUUGCUUGAAUUUAUAACCUAACCAAACUGAAGCCAAAUGGGCUUAAAUUUUAUAGAAUGACCCUACACAAUAAAUAUGAUUUGUGGGCAAAAGACGAACAUUUAUUUGAGCAAUUCUAUAUGCAACUCAAAUAAAUAGAGAAAAGGGAAAGAAGGAAGUGGCAUAGGGAUGAUGGAAGGGUCAAGAGAAGAAAAGAAGUUGCAGUGCACAUGAGCAACUAAAUUAAACAAACACAACAAUGGUAUGGAGAAGAUGCAUGAUGCAAAAUAAAAUAAAACAAACA
rnacentral:lncRNA from 1 species